rnacentral:rRNA from 1 species
GAUGAACGCUGGCGGCGUGCUUAACACAUGCAAGUCGAACGAUGAAGCCCAGCUUGCUGGGUGGAUUAGUGGCGAACGGGUGAGUAACACGUGAGUAACCUGCCCUUAACUCUGGGAUAAGCCUGGGAAACUGGGUCUAAUACCGGAUAGGAGCGCCUACCGCAUGGUGGGUGUUGGAAAGAUUUAUCGGUUUUGGAUGGACUCGCGGCCUAUCAGCUUGUUGGUGAGGUAAUGGCUCACCAAGGCGACGACGGGUAGCCGGCCUGAGAGGGUGACCGGCCACACUGGGACUGAGCCACGGCCCAGACUCCUACGGGAGGCAGCAGUGGGGAAUAUUGCACAAUGGGCGAAAGCCUGAUGCAGCGACGCCGCGUGAGGGAUGACGGCCUUCGGGUUGUAAACCUCUUUCAGUAGGGAAGAAGCGAAAGUGACGGUACCUGAAGAAGAAGCACCGGCUAACUACGUG